CGCUAACAUCAGCGCUUGAACGGCGCGCGUCAGGACGUUCAGUAAAACGUGGACUGGAUAAGAAUCUGCGGAGUGAGAUUAAAAUAAAUUUCCCUUACUGACAAGCUAAACAGAGUCGUCUGCGCAGACGCAGAAGGAUCAGGAGACGGCUCUGACGGAGGAAGAGCGCAGACAACAGCAGGAACUACUGCAGUCUUUAGCGGAGUGUGUCCUUCACGUGUCCAGGCGCAGGCUCACGUCUGGAGGACACACUGACCUCCAUCUGUCUGCACACACAACACCUCACAGGAUAAUGAAGUGAAGGAUCCCUCUCUGCUGCCACCAGAAACUCACAGAGUCAAUCUGCAGAACACACUCGUGUCAUCAUCAGUCGAUACAUCACAUCAUCACACCACAGUCAGCAAGAACCGAGCCUUUCCCAAGCUUUCAGUCGAGUGCUUCACUGAAGUGCCUGAAACAGCACACGCUAGUGACACCUGCUGGUCAAACUCUGUAAAUGCAACAAAACUUCUGCAAAAACAGGCAUAAAAACACCUUUUACAACCCCAAGGGCUUGUUUAGUUUGUUUUAUGGAGAGCUUGUCUGAACAGUCAGUAAGAGACUAUUAACUACUACUCAUCCUGUUAAUUACACAACAUUAGAAAUAUCUUCAAACUGAUUUCCCAAAGUUUUGAAGCUUC
ensembl:lncRNA